UCCUACGGGGGGCAGCAGUGAGGAAUCUUGGGCAAUGGAGGAAACUCUGACGCAGCCACGCCGCGUGCCGGAAGACGGCCCUAUGGGUUGUAAACGGCUUUUGAUUGGGAAGAACUGUUCCGUUUCGACGGGACUUGACGGUACCAUUUGAAUAAGCACCGGCUAACUCCGUGCCAGCAGCCGCGGUAAUACGGAGGGUGCAAGCGUUGUCCGGAAUCAUUGGGUGUAAAGGGUGGGUAGGCUGGCAUUUAAGUCUGGGGUGAAAUCUUGCCGCUUAACGGUAAAAUUGCCCUGGAUACUGGAUGUCUUGAAUCUGACAGAGGUCGGUGGAAUUCGUGGUGUAGCGGUGAAAUGCAUAGAUAUCACGAAGAACACCAGUGGAGAAGGCGGCCGGCUGGGUCAGUAUUGACGCUGAGGCAAGAGAGGGUGGGGAGCGAACAGGAUUAGAUCCCCUGGUAGUCCACGCUGUAAACGAUGUAUGCUAGUUGUUGGGCUUUCGGGCUCAGUGACGCAGUUAACGCAGUAAGCAUACCACCUGG
rnacentral:rRNA from 1 species